rnacentral:lncRNA from 1 species
CAGCCUUCAAAAGGAUCCAUGUUCUACACACCAUCAGGACUCUCCUGUUCCCAUUUUUUUGUUGCUUAUGUGUUGGCUUUUUUGUUUCAUUGUAGCCAAGCUUUCAUCACAUUGUUGAAAAGGCAAUCAUUAAUACCUUUUGAGAAUUAUAUUUUACAGCUCAGUCACACUGUAGAAACUAAUCCGAAUCUGCUCCAAGUUCAGAAAUUUUGAGAAAUGGGUUCUGCUCUGAGUACAAUAUAGGAGACCAUCCAUGACAAGUCAACACUUUGAAAAUAACAACCAGGAAAGCUGUAAGUUUUAGAAAGGCUGAAAAGCUAUGGAAGCAAGAAGAAUUAGACAAACUAAAAUCCCUAAGAAGGAAAAGUAUUUCAUAGAGGAGCUGAUGAUCACUGCCUUUUUUAUUUCCUUGAGGCUUUUGCAUUAGACUUGAUUUAGGCUGAGGGAUUCUACUGGGUAAAGAGAAACAAAGCUUUGGAUAGUCAUCGGGGCCGGUGUGACAGUUUUAAAUCUAGCAGUACUCCAAAUGCAUGGCCACUUUUCUUUGUAGACAUAUGCUAUGUGCUACAGCAAAAUAGGAGACCGAGGAAGAGGGUAGGAAAACUCUAACAGACAAAAUUGAAAUCCCCCAGUCUGGGAAUGCUUAGAAGAAAAUCUCUCCCUGGGGUGAAGGAGGGCUACCUUAAACAUAGACUGAGGAUGUAGAAGAGACAGAGAGCUUCCAUGCUCUCAAUCCAAAGGCCAGGUUGCAUCAUGGAUGGGCUGCAAAGUUGCAAAGUUUGAGCUCAGCUCAUUGUCUGCCUGGUCCAUGUGGUCAGUUCUACAUGCAUUCUGCCAAGCAAGAGACGGUGAAUGCUCUCUGAGCAAAAUAAGAUCAUUCGGUAUCUUUCAAGUCCUUUUAUAUCCAAUACCUAAUUACAAUUUUAAAAUAAUGCAUGUAGAGAGUAGCAAUAAAAAUAUGACCAGUGAUAAGAACUAAGAAAAUUAAGAGAGUAGAAGUAUCACCACACACAUAGCACAUAUUAGAGUCAGCAGGAAAGUAUUUUAAAAUAACUGUCAUAGCGUGUAGGAGACAAAGGAGACAUACCAGUUCAUUUCUCAGUUUUGGUAAAUGUCCCAUGGUUCUGUUAGAUGUGAGGAAACUGGAUGAGGGGAUGUAGGAAUUCAGUGCAAUAUUUUUGAAGCGCCUAUAAUUCUGAAAUUAUUUCCAAAAAAAUUGAAGUUUUCACCUGUGAGAGAGCUGAAAGAUUUCAGAUGAUGGAUCAUGGGUAACCAUGAGACUUCUUAAUGAAAAUGUUUUGUGUAGUUAUGAUUUUUGGAGCCAUGCAAAAGCAUGAACCAUUUUAAAAAUAAAUCAAAUAUUUUAACAUAAAUACAAAGAAAAGUAAGGGUUUUUAAGGAAUUUAUUCUUUAGAUACUCUCUAGAUUUCGUGCAAAGAUUUAUAUACAAGGCUGUUCAUGUGAAAAAUGAUGCAAUAAUAUACACUAUUAGAAGGAAGAUUAGAUGGAUGGAUGGAUGGAUGGAUGGAUGGAUGGAUGGAUGGAUGGAUAGAGAGAGAGAGAGAGACCAUGAAUAAAAUAAAAUAAAAUGAUUUAUGUAAAAUUUAUUGCAAAAAACAUUCAAUCCUUAGGCUCUCAUAUUUUAAUUUAACAUUAAAAUGAAGUUUCCAUUACUACUGCUUGUAGAGCACAAAAGUACAUCACCAGCUAAGCCAACAAUAAUUUAGAGAUAAUGCAAAUACUUUGCCUUAAUUAGACUGCUGGUAAAUAAAUUGUCAAUGAAUGAGUCAGUGUUACCUUUCUCAGCCUCUCCUCUACAGACCUCAGGUGGCUUUUCCAGCACAGAGGAAAUGGGAUGGAGCAUGGUUUUAUGGCAGCUUUUCCCUAGACUGAAAUAUACUGUGAGCACAUCAUGUAAUGGAUAGGAGAAAACUUGAUUGGAAGGGCAAAAUGACCAAUAAAAACUUUCAAUUUUUUUUCCUAAAAUUAUCUUUCCAUGUUUAGCUGAGAACCAGAUUGUGAGUAUAGGGUUUGGGUCUGCAGAUUUGCAAUUAUAUAAUUCUACAGAAUAAUUAAAUAUGUUCUUUUAUUUGCAUGUGCCAUUGCAUGUUGAUUGCAUUCUAUUGUGUAACUAAAGUUCAGAUUUUUAAAUUUGACCAUAUUUACUAGGGAGGUUUUGCUCAUAACAUAGAUAUUAAGGCAAUAGUGUGCCUAGUAUGUCUUCUGUGAUAAUAGACAGCUACUCUAGGCCAAGUCAUCCAGUAGGCAAUGAUUUCUUUUUUUGUUAUUAUUCUGAAUAUCUCAAAUUACAUGAAUUUAAAAUCAAUUUGACUCCUAAAAAUGAGCAGAAACACAUUUUCCUUUCUUAGACAGCAAUUCCAUGCACUUGGUUGGAAAACACAGUAUUAGUAAGAAAGGCUAAGUCAUAUUUUCUUUAAUGUUGUGUACCUUAUAGCCACUAUUUGCUUGCUGGAUUUGCCAGUGGCCAAACCUAACUCUGCUCUCAUCAUCACAUUGGAGUAUAAAAUUGGGUUCUAUCAGCUUUUCAUACUUCUGUUUCCUUUUGUGGACUUAACAAAGCUGAUUUCUGAUCCAAGUUUUAUGGAAACACCUAAAUGUUUCUUUUUGACCAGGAAGGAUUAUUUCACUGGGACAGAACCUCUAAAAUAGUCUUUUGCUCAAACUUGAGUGGGAAAUUCUAGAAGAAAAUGGUUAUUUCUCUUCUUGGAAAAUUUUUCUUUUCUAUGAAAUUCGUGUUCCACAUGUUAUCGCCUACUCUUAUGAGACUUUAUUUUCAUUAGAUCUUGGUCUCUUUGUGUCUUCAUGUAAGGACAUUUUUUUCCUAAAUGUUUUUUCAGGGCAUUUUUAUUAUUGUUGUUAUAUUUGCCUUUGUGUGCGAAUAUGUGCAUUGAAUUUCUUAUUUCACUGAAUAAGGACCUAAAGAUUAAGAAUUUCUGAGUACCUCAAAUCCCUUAUGCAAAUUUCUUUUAAAGUGAUGUUUCAUUAAGCUUAUAAGUUCAAGCUAUUGAGUUUACAACAGAAUACCUCAAUGAAUUUUCAUUCUAUUUUAAAUGUGCAGGGGAGAACACUGUGCUAUUAUUUUUGUAGCUAGUUUCAGUGCUUAAUAGAAUUCAGGGUCUCUGGUGCUACAUGGCCACCUGGGGGCUGAAGAAUCAGUCUCCUGUGCACACUCCUUGACACAGCUUCAGCCCUUUCACAGCAUGCUUUUUGGAAAGCUCUGGUUUUGUUUCCCCACUUAGUAGUUAAUUUUCAAACAUCAUUGAUGUUAGACAUUUCAAUAUUCCUUUUCCACCGUCUCAGUCUCCAUGCACAGGAGAAAAAUGGCUUCAACUAAUCAGCAUAGGCAAUCAUGCUGGAGCAGCGUUUUGGUGGCCUUUGCUGCACUGUGCAAAAAUCUCAGGGGAUCCCAGUGGAGGGGUCUGAGUGACUGUGGUAGGAGAGAGGGCCCCACUGAUGGGUUUAGAUGAGAAUUACCAACCAGUGUGAAAGUAUACUCUAUUUCAUCCCAUCGGUGGUAGAAAGAACCAUUUAUUUUAUGUACCCCUUAAAAAAUGCCACCAAUUAAAUUCACAGCUCUUUCUCAUUAUUUAAAAUUUUAUGAUAUCCCCUUGAAAGAGCUUUUUAGAUUUAUGGAAAUAUAGAUUUUAAAAACAGAUGUCCCUUUAGGCAUACAUAAAAAAUUAAUUUGUUAAGGCAUGAAUUUAUUUAUAUUAACAAUCAGUUUUCUGAAUCACUUUUAACGUAUUCAUCAAUUUUCAUAUUGUCCCACACAGUGUCAUCUAUAUCACCCAGAGCAUGAGUAAUACAACAUUUUUAUGAGAGUACCCUACUGUUAACCUUUGCUAUUUUUCUCAAAGGCAGCUUUUUCCUAAGAUGUAUAAAAACAUGUAGCAAUUGAUAACCACAUCACAAUUUCCACCAGUAAUUACACAAUACAGCCCAUUUCAGAGAUGUUCAAAUAUGGAGGAAGAAGGUUCUUUUUAGACUUGAUAAAAUACAGUAAAUUCAAUAUAUUUAACAUCUCACAUGACUAUAUUGACCUGUUUAUUAUCAACCUUUCCUGGAUACUCAUUAUAAUUGGAGUUUAUAUAGUCCAUUUUGUAUGAGAAUAUAAAAAUAUUUCUCAAAUAUUAAUAGUAUAUACCAUAAUUAUUAAUUAUAAUUGUUAAUCAUAAUUAUAAACUCAAAUUAUAAUUGUACAUAGUGCAUAUUCCAUAAAUCAGUGUAUAUUUAAAACCUAUAAGCAAUAUGUCACUCUCAGAUGUUUGACAGAUUAAAAAUUUCAUUGUUUAUCUGCCAAGAGCCAGAAUGAAUAUCGCAAAUCAAGAGAAGUUAUGUAUAAUUUGUGAAUUAAUUUUAUGUGUCUAAUAUUGGCAUCUGAUUUGUCAUGAGUAAAUCAGAAAAAAAUCUAAAUUGAAUACAUUUAAAAACUAUAACAUGAGAAAAAAGUUCAGUUUUUCUAAAAACUAAUAAAAAAGCAGAGGACAAUGUUUUAUAGAAAAAGGAAGAAAAUUUGAGAAUUCCUAGGUAUAUCCAAAAAAAACUGUUUAUAGACAUGAAAGUAAGAGUUCAGAUUAAUAUGAGGCCAGAGUUUAAAGAGAUUUUUGAAUGAGAUAAGAAUGCAAGGUAAACUUAAAAUAUCAACACUCAGGUCUAUUAUAGAUUCAAUUAAGAAAAAGCCUCAUAAUAUUGAGUCAGGGAUAUAAAGCACAAAAUUAAGAAUAUCUAAAAUAUACAGAGUUCCUGUUGUGACUCAGAGGGUUAAGAAACCAACAAAGCCUCCAUGAGGAUGUAGGUUCAAUCCCUGGCCUCACUCAGUGGGUUAAGUAUCCGGCAUUGCUGCCAGCUGCAGUCUAGGUUGCAGAUGUGGCUAGGAUCUGGCAUUGCUGUAGCUGUGGCAUAGGCCAGCAGUUGCAGCUCCCAUUUGACCCCUAGUCUGGAAACUUCCAUAUGCCACAGGAGUG